GGAAGGUGCAAGCGUUAAUCGGAAUUACUGGGCGUAAAGCGCGCGUAGGCGGCUAGAUAAGUCGGGUGUGAAAGCCCUGGGCUCAACCUGGGGACUGCAUUCGAUACUGUCUAGCUAGAGUGUGGUAGAGGGAGGCGGAAUUCCGCAUGUAGCGGUGAAAUGCGUAGAGAUGCGGAGGAACACCAAUGGCGAAGGCAGCCUUCUGGACCAACACUGACGCUGAGGCGCGAAAGCGUGGGGGGAGCAAACAGGAUUAGAUACCCUGGUAGUCCACGCCCGUAAACGAUGUCAACUAGCCGUUGGGAGCAUUUUGGCUCUUGGUGGCGCAGCUAACGCGAUAAGUUGACCGCCUGGGGAGUACGGUCGCAAGAUUA
rnacentral:rRNA from 1 species